rnacentral:rRNA from 1 species
UACGUAGGGGGCAAGCGUUGUCCGGAAUCAUUGGGCGUAAAGAGCGUGUAGGCGGCCUGGUAAGUCCGCUGUGAAAGUCCAGGGCUCAACCCUGGAAUGCCGGUGGAAACUGUCAGGCUCGAGUCCGGAAGAGGCGAGUGGAAUUCCUGGUGUAGCGGUGAAAUGCGCAGAUAUCAGGAGGAACACCAAUGGCGAAGGCGGCAUCCUGGACCAACACUGACGCUGAGUGAGCGAAAGCCAGGGGAGCAAAGGGG